rnacentral:rRNA from 1 species
AUUGAACGCUGGCGGCAAGCCUAACACAUGCAAGUCGAACGAGUGGCGGACGGGUGAGUAAUGUCUGGGACACUGCCUGAUGGAUGGGGAUAACUACUGGAAACGGUAGCUAAUACCGCAUACCAUCGGAUGUUCCCAGAUGGGAUUAGCUAGUAGGUGGGGUAAAGGCUCACAUAGGCGACGAUCCCUAGCUGGUAUGCGAGGAUGCCCAGCCACACGGGAACGGAGACACGGUCCAGACUCCUACGGGAGGCAGCAGUGGGGAAGAUUGCACAAUGGGCGCAAGCCGGAUGCAGCCAGGCCGCGUGUAUGAAGAAGGCCUUCGGGUUGUAAAGUACUUUCAGCGGGGAGGCGUUACCCGCAGAAGAAGCACCGGCUAACUCCGUGCCAGCAGCCGCGGUAAUAC